GGGUUGUGAGGUUAAGCGACUAAGCGUACACGGUGGAUGCCCUGGCAGUCAGAGGCGAUGAAGGACGUGCUAAUCUGCGAUAAGCGUCGGUAAGGUGAUAUGAACCGUUAUAACCGGCGAUUUCCGAAUGGGGAAACCCAGUGUGAUUCGUCACACUAUCAUUAACUGAAUCCAUAGGUUAAUGAGGCGAACCGGGGGAACUGAAACAUCUAAGUACCCCGAGGAAAAGAAAUCAACCGAGAUUCCCCCAGUAGCGGCGAGCGAACGGGGAGCAGCCCAGAGCCUGAAUCAGUGUGUGUGUUAGUGGAAGCGUCUGGAAAGGCGCGCGAUACAGGGUGACAGCCCCGUACACAAAAAUGCACAUGCUGUGAGCUCGAUGAGUAGGGCGGGACACGUGGUAUCCUGUCUGAAUAUGGGGGGACCAUCCUCCAAGGCUAAAUACUCCUGACUGACCGAUAGUGAACCAGUACCGUGAGGGAAAGGCGAAAAGAACCCCGGCGAGGGGAGUGAAAAAGAACCUGAAACCGUGUACGUACAAGCAGUGGGAGCCUCUUUAUGGGGUGACUGCGUACCUUUUGUAUAAUGGGUCAGCGACUUAUAUUCUGUAGCAAGGUUAACCGAAUAGGGGAGCCGAAGGGAAACCGAGUCUUAACUGGGCGUUAAGUUGCAGGGUAUAGACCCGAAACCCGGUGAUCUAGCCAUGGGCAGGUUGAAGGUUGGGUAACACUAACUGGAGGACCGAACCGACUAAUGUUGAAAAAUUAGCGGAUGACUUGUGGCUGGGGGUGAAAGGCCAAUCAAACCGGGAGAUAGCUGGUUCUCCCCGAAAGCUAUUUAGGUAGCGCCUCGUGAAUUCAUCUCCGGGGGUAGAGCACUGUUUCGGCAAGGGGGUCAUCCCGACUUACCAACCCGAUGCAAACUGCGAAUACCGGAGAAUGUUAUCACGGGAGACACACGGCGGGUGCUAACGUCCGUCGUGAAGAGGGAAACAACCCAGACCGCCAGCUAAGGUCCCAAAGUCAUGGUUAAGUGGGAAACGAUGUGGGAAGGCCCAGACAGCCAGGAUGUUGGCUUAGAAGCAGCCAUCAUUUAAAGAAAGCGUAAUAGCUCACUGGUCGAGUCGGCCUGCGCGGAAGAUGUAACGGGGCUAAACCAUGCACCGAAGCUGCGGCAGCGACACUAUGUGUUGUUGGGUAGGGGAGCGUUCUGUAAGCCUGCGAAGGUGUACUGUGAGGUAUGCUGGAGGUAUCAGAAGUGCGAAUGCUGACAUAAGUAACGAUAAAGCGGGUGAAAAGCCCGCUCGCCGGAAGACCAAGGGUUCCUGUCCAACGUUAAUCGGGGCAGGGUGAGUCGACCCCUAAGGCGAGGCCGAAAGGCGUAGUCGAUGGGAAACAGGUUAAUAUUCCUGUACUUGGUGUUACUGCGAAGGGGGGACGGAGAAGGCUAUGUUGGCCGGGCGACGGUUGUCCCGGUUUAAGCGUGUAGGCUGGUUUUCCAGGCAAAUCCGGAAAAUCAAGGCUGAGGCGUGAUGACGAGGCACUACGGUGCUGAAGCAACAAAUGCCCUGCUUCCAGGAAAAGCCUCUAAGCAUCAGGUAACAUCAAAUCGUACCCCAAACCGACACAGGUGGUCAGGUAGAGAAUACCAAGGCGCUUGAGAGAACUCGGGUGAAGGAACUAGGCAAAAUGGUGCCGUAACUUCGGGAGAAGGCACGCUGAUACGUAGGUGAAG
rnacentral:rRNA from 1 species